UACGAACUGUGCAAACGUUAUUCGGAAUCACUGGGCUUAAAGGGUGCGUAGGCGGCUUGUUAAGUAGGGUGUGAAAUCCCCCGGCUCAACCGGGGAAUUGCGCCCUAAACUGGCGAGCUGGAGUGAGAUAGGGGUGUGUGGAACUUCCAGUGGAGCGGUGAAAUGUGUUGAUAUUGGAAGGAACGCCAGUGGCGAAAGCGACACACUGGGUCU
rnacentral:rRNA from 1 species